ensembl:lncRNA
AUGUGUCGGGAACAUGUGGCAAGAAAUCCUAAGGGGUACAGUUGCAAAAAGCUGGUUCUCUGGGGGUUUCCUUUGCAUUGCCUGCAAAAGGAGGGGCCGGCCUUUUGGAGCUGUGCUCCAGACGAAAAGAAAGGAGCCAGUGCACCCAGGAAAGCAAGGGCAAGCACAGGCGUGGCGGUGCCCGAUAACCCCUUGGCACUGCUGUCUGUGCUCUUCUCCGGCUACACCUCACGGCAGCGGCAGAUCAACCCCAAAUACCUCCAGCUGAGCCCUAGCAACGUUACCCGCCCUUCAAGCACGGAUCUACGAGGGGAGAUGGAAGGGGAGGUAACGCAUCGCUGUGUGUGUAGGUGGUGCCAGGAGUUCCCCUGCAGGCUCCCAGGGCACUGCUCGUGCCCCGCCACAUCGGCCUGCUCGCCCUCCCGGGGGGCUACGCGCAACCACGGCAGGUGCCCCCACGCCUCCACGAAAAGCCCCCUGCGCACGGAUGGCUGCCAGAAAAAUAAAAACCCUCCCUGGAAACGGGGCUGCCAGGGGCUUCGGCAGCGGAUCACGGCCCAGCCUUGGCCCCCGGGCGGCCUCGGCGAGGCCCGGCUCCCGCCUCCCCCCCCCCGCGCCGCGGCCGCCUCCGAGGCCGGCGGGCUCCGAGCCCCCUCUGGCGGCUGCUCGGGGGAUGUCGGGGCCCCGCUGCCUCCUGCCGCCCGCUCCCGGGCGCCUGCUGCUGUUUUCUGCCCCGAACCGUGCCCUGCAUGUGGGUGAAACGCCCCCAGCCCGGCCCGGAGGCAGGUUUCCUCAGCAGCCUCCUCCCGCCCUCGGUGAGCGCCUGUCCCACUCGAGGUCUUGGGGAUGCUUGAGAUGGUUCCCCCCUCACAGAGAGGCCACCGCUGGCCCGGGGAGUCCACGAACUUCAGGGUGCUCGAGGCUGAAAGGCUGUUCUGGGGAAGAACUCCGUGCUUGCCGUGUUCUCCUACCCUCUCCUAAGCUGCUGCAGAUGGGAAGAGGAGGGGGAGAUGUCAAGCUCUGGGUGAGGGAUGUCAGACGUGCUGCAUAGGAAGCCCUCUGCCAUCGGGCUCCACAGACAGAGGUGUUUGUUGCCAGGAUGCAUUUCUACGCCCAGGUGUUUUGGCCGUGAAUCCAGUGAUCUGGCUGCUUGUUCCUACCCCACAAUUCGUCCCUGCUCUGCUGGUCCAGCACAAGUGUUUGCAGGAGCCUGCUGAGAACUGGGCAAGGUGGGAAUACAUAUGUAGAGGUGAGAACAUCUUAAACUGGCUUUCUUCUUCAGGAAGGUAGAGGUUUCAUCUUAAAGUGGACAGAUGUGCCCUGCAGUCUCACUGUCUCAGCUUCUCACACAUCCCAUCCUUAACAAGGCCACUUCAUGCUUUCUGUUCAUAGGAACUUGCCUCCAGCUGCUUGUAGUAGGGAAGCCCAAGGUGGUUUUGCAGCACAGAAACUCCCUCUGGCACAACAGGGCCAUGCAGCCAGCGUGUUCUUUCUUAGCAGGGGCAGUCGUGCUGAUACAAAUACUUUGGGUACGUGUUAGGUAGCACAAGCUCAGCCUGUGGAUGCCCUGGAGUUGCUCUGGGAAAGGGGCUGGCAGGAAUGGCUCGCUGUGGCAUGAACAAUUCACACGUCCUGUUCCUGACCAACCUCCUUUUUGUGGCGGUGGUGACCACAACCUCAACCUGCACCCCCCAUAUCUUCCUCCAGGGGUGUCU